CUGCGCACGCGCAGACCGGCUCGCUUUAGCAGCUGUAUUUCCUGCUUGCCGUUUCCACUCGAAGCGAUGGCCGAAGUGAAAGCUUCCCUGAUCUGCGGCGUGGUCGCGGCUCUGCUGGCGUCCGCGGCGCUCGCGUUUGUUGAAGACUUGGACGACACAUUUAAAGACACCAGAGUGAACGAUAUCUGGCUGGUCGAUUUCUAUGCGCCGUGGUGCGGCUACUGUAAAAAGCUAGAGCCGGUAUGGCACGAUGUGGGAGUGGAGCUGAAGAGCUCCGGGUCGCCGGUCCGCGUGGGAAAGAUGGACGCCACCGCUUACUCUGGAAUGUCGUCAGAGUUCGGCGUUCGUGGUUACCCCACAAUAAAACUGUUAAAGGGGGAUCUCGCCUAUAACUACAAAGGACCGAGGACAAAAGACGACAUCGUGGAGUUUGCCAACAGGGUGGCAGGACCGGCUGUCAGGGCGCUUCCCAGCAAGCAGAUGUUCGAGCACAUGAUGAAACGACACAAUGUGCUUUUUGUGUAUGUCGGCGGGGAGUCUCCCCUCAAAGAGAAGUACAACGACGUCGCCGCCGAGCUCAUCGUCUACACUUAUUUCUUCUCGGCUUCGGAGGAAGUCUUUCCAGAGUCGGUAACUUUGCCCGAGCUUCCUGCGGUCGUGGUCUUUAAGGACGGGGCCUACUUUACCUACGAUGAAUACGCAGACGCUAGUUUGUCAUCGUGGGUGAACAAGGAGCGCUUCCAAGGAUACCUCCAGAUUGACGGCUUUACACUCUAUGAGCUCGGAGAAACAGGCAAAUUGGUAGCGAUCGCAGUCAUCGAUGAGAAGGACCCCACAGAGGAGAGUGGCAGAUUAAAGACCUUGAUUCAGAGGGUGGCGAAGGAAUACAGAGAACAUUUCAACAGAGACUUCCAGUUUGGCCACAUGGACGGGAACGACUACAUCAACAGCCUCAUUAUGGGCGAGGUGACGGUGCCCUCCGUUAUCAUCCUCAACACAUCCAACGAGCAGUACUUCCUGCCCAGUGAGCCGAUCGAGACCAUGGAGCAGCUGGUCCAAUUCAUCAACGGUGUUUUGAACGGUUCCGCACAGGCGCACGGAGGUGACGGCUUCGUUCAGAGGAUCAAACGCGUGGCCUUUGAUGCCAGAUCCACCAUCAUGUCAGUGUUUCGCAGCUCUCCGCUGCUGGGCUGCUUCCUGUUCGGCCUGCCGCUGGGCGUCAUCAGCCUGAUGUGCUACGGCAUCUGCACGGCCGAGUCGGACGACGGGUCGGACGACAUGGACGCGCUCAAGAGGGAGGGCCUGACUGACGAAGAGGACGAGGAGGACGACGAGGAGGAGGAGGAGGAGAGGCAACACGCUCCCGAGCUGGAGGGCCCCGAAGAGGGCGAGCGCGAGGAGGAGGAGGAAGAGGAGGACGACGACAUCGUCGGAGAGAAGGACCCCGAGGAGAAGAAAACCGAUUAACGCAGUGACGGCGUGUAAACACGUAACGCUCAAGAGAUGCAGGGGGAUGGCUGUGAACCAAACAAACCUCUUAUUUAUUAAGAUUCGACCAACCAGUGGUUUAUUGUGAUGUGUGUGACGCUUUCUCUCUUCGUUUUGUAACUACUAAAAUUCUCCCGUUGUGUCUUCUUCUUUUUUUCUUUUUCUUUUUUUUUUUUUUUGUCAUAUCCCAAUACUUUUUUGUAUUUUUUUAUUACAUUUUAAAAUGGUAGAAAGCUGCCUUCCUACUGAUAUGACCACACAUGCAUUUAUUUCUCCUCUGCCCUCAGCCCAAAGUUAAGGCUUAUCUAAAUUGGCGUGUGUGUGUGUAUAUAAAGCAAAGGAAGUCCACAAGAAGGAAAAUCGGCCAUAAAUGAAUUGUGCUUUUUCUAUUGGAUGUUAUUGCCUGAAAAUAUUUCUUCUUCUUCUUCUUCUUCUUCUAGGGGUGCAAAGUGCAGAGACAGUCGUGCAUUUCAACCUAUUUCUCAUGCCGGCCACCUGUUAGUGUCCAUUCACGCGGAGAGUUAAUGAAAGGGAGCUGGAAUGGGAGCUUCCGGCCGCACGGUGAUGAAUGAGCAUUAAGUUCCUCCUUGACCUCCGGGAAGAGAAGUCGAGACAAAGUCGUCCGCAAGCCCAUCUUUGACUUCCUUUCAGUGGCCUCCUCUCACGUAAUGACGACUGAGCUCACGACUAAUCUACUGCGUGGACUUUGAAUUCAGGUGACGCUUUCAAAUAGGAAUGAAUGUUUUUGAGCAGUUUAUGCUAUAACGGUGUGAAGGUGAUCCACCCCCCCAUUUUUUUUAUUUUAUGUAAUACGAAUCAAUAUUCUUCAUUUCGCCGUGCUUUUGUAGCUCAGUAAAUCUCGACUUAGGCUCCUCAACCUAAGGACGCCUGGUGUUUUUAAUAUACAGAGGUCAUCUGUAUUAUUACUGUGAAAGUGCACUAAAGGAAACCAUGCCCUCGCCUUGCCUUCUGGUCCUUGUAGUUGCCUACCGUUCUCUGCCAAACUUCCUCUUUUGGGUUUGAAUUGAGACUGUCACACUUUAUUACAGGUUUAAAAGAUUGAAAUAAAGAUUGUCCUCUUUUUCUCUU